GGACUGUGGAGAUAACAAGGGGACCAAAUGAUGCCCUCGGUAUCAGUAUAGCCGGAGGGAAGGGCAGCCCCUUAGGAGAUAUCCCCAUCUUCAUUGCCAUGAUUCAAGCCAGUGGCGUGGCCGCUCGCACCCAGAGGCUCAAGGUUGGAGAUCGGAUUGUCAGUAUUAAUGGGCAACCUUUGGAUGGGCUGUCUCAUGCAGAUGCUGUUAAUCUACUAAAGAAUGCUUAUGGGAGCAUUAUCCU